GAUGAACGCUAGCUACAGGCUUAACACAUGCAAGUCGAGGGGCAUCACGGUGUAGCAAUACACUGGUGGCGACCGGCGCACGGGUGAGUAACACGUAUCCAACCUGCCGCAUACUCCGGAAUAGCCUUUCGAAAGAAAGAUUAAUGCCGGAUGGCAUGUAAAUUCUGCAUGGGAUUUACAUUAAAGAUUCAUCGGUAUGCGAUGGGGAUGCGUUCCAUUAGCUUGUUGGCGGGGUAACGGCCCACCAAGGCGACGAUGGAUAGGGGUUCU
rnacentral:rRNA from 1 species